GCGAUACAUCAAGAGUUGGGGCGACGCCCGACGCCAACCUGCCUUCCGGGCAAGGUGGCACUUCCAUCAGGAAGGAUGUGGCCGAUCCGGCAACCAAACGGACCCAG
rnacentral:ncRNA from 1 species